rnacentral:rRNA from 1 species
GAGCCUACAUCGUUUACGGCUGGGACUACCCGGGUAUCUAAUCCGGUUCGCUCCCCCAGCUUUCAUCCCUCACCGUCGGGCGCGUUCUAGCGAGGCGCCUUCGCCACUGGUGGUCCUCCCAGGAUCAACGGAUUUUACCCCUACCCUGGGAAUACCCCUCGCCUCUCCCGCCCCCUAGCUUAGCAGUAUCCUCCGCAGCCCAACGGUUAAGCCGUUGGAUUUAACGGAGGACUUGCUAAGCCGGCUACGGAUGCUUUAGGCCCAAUAAUCGUCCCGACCACUCGGGGUGCUGGUAUUACCGCGGCGGCUGACACCAAACUUGCCCACCCCUUAUUCGCCAGCCUUUUUACAGCUGGCAAAAGGCCCCUUCAGCAGGGACCACUCGGACUAACCCCGUCGGGCUUUCGCCCAUUGCGGAGGUUUCGCGCCUGCUGCGCCCCAUAGGACCUGGGCCCUUGUCUCAGUGCCCAUCUCCGGGCUCCUCCUCUCAGAGCCCGCACCGGUUAUAGGCUUGGUGGGCCAUUACCCCACCAACUACCUGAUCGGCCGCAGUCCCAUCCUAGGGCCAUAUAGAUUUCAGCUAUAGCUCAUUCCAGAGGCUAUAGCCUAUCGGGGUUUAGCCUCAGUUUCCCGAGGUUAUCCCCGUCCCUAGGGUAGGUUGACUACGUGUUACUG